rnacentral:sRNA from 1 species
GCCAGGCGCAGUAGUGCACGCCCAUAAUCCCAGCAGCUUGGGAGGCUGAGGCAGGAGGAUCAUGAGUUCAAAGCCAGCCUCAGCAACUUAACCAUGCCCUGAGCAACUCAGUGAGACCCUGUCUCUA